rnacentral:rRNA from 1 species
UACCCGGUGAACUUAAGCAUAUCAAUAAGCGGAGGAAAAGAAACCAACAGGGAUUACCUCAGUAACGGCGAGUGAAGCGGUAACAGCUCAAAUUUGAAAUCUGGCCUCACGGUCCGAGUUGUAAUUUGUAGAGGAUGCUUCGAGCAUGGUCUGGCCUAAGUUCCUUGGAACAGGACGUCAUAGAGGGUGAGAAUCCCGUAUGCGGCCAGGUGCCUACGCUCAUGUGAAGCUCCUUCGACGAGUCGAGUUGUUUGGGAAUGCAGCUCAAAAUGGGUGGUAAAUUUCAUCUAAAGCUAAAUAUUGGCCAGAGACCGAUAGCGCACAAGUAGAGUGAUCGAAAGAUGAAAAGCACUUUGGAAAGAGAGUUAAACAGUACGUGAAAUUGUUGAAAGGGAAGCGCUUGCAACCAGACUUGCGCGCGGCCGAUCAUCCGGUGUUCUCACCGGUGCACUCGGCCGUGCUCAGGCCAGCAUCGGUUUUGGCGGCUGGAUAAAGGCCCUAGGAAUGUAGCUCCUCUCGGGGAGUGUUAUAGCCUAGGGUGCAAUGCAGCCUGCUGGGACCGAGGACCGCGCUUCGGCUAGGAUGCUGGCGUAAUGGUUGUAAGCGGCCCGUCUUGAAACCACGGA